GAUGAACGCUGGCGGCGUGCCUAAUACAUGCGAGUCGAGCGAACAGACGAGGAGCUUGCUCCUCUGACGUUAGCGGCGGACGGGUGAGUAACACGUGGAUAACCUACCUAUAAGACUGUGAUAACUUCGGGAAACCGGAGCUAAUACCGGAUAAUAUAUUGAACCGCAUGGUUCAAUAGUGAAAGACGGUUUUGCUGUCACUUAUAGAUGGAUCCGCGCCGCAUUAGCUAGUUGGUAAGGUAACGGCUUACCAAGGCAACGAUGCGUAGCCGACCUGAGAGGGUGAUCGGCCACACUGGAACUGAGACACGGUCCAGACUCCUACGGGAGGCAGCAGUAGGGAAUCUUCCGCAAUGGGCGAAAGCUUGACGGAGCAACGCCGCGUGAGUGAUGAAGGUCUUCGGAUCGUAAAACUCUGUUAUUAGGGAAGAACAAAUGUGUAAGUAACUAUGCACGUCUUGACGGUACCUAAUCAGAAAGCCACGGCUAACUACGUG
rnacentral:rRNA from 1 species